CUGACGCUGAGGAGCGAAAGCGUGGGGAGCGAACAGGAUUAGAUACCCUGGUAGUCCACGCCGUAAACGUUGGGAACUAGGUGUGGGCCACAUUCCACGUGGUCCGUGCCGCAGCUAACGCAUUAAGGUCCCCGCCUGGGGAGUACGGCCGCAAGGCUAAAACUCAAAGGAAUUGACGGGGGCCCGCACAAGCGGCGGAGCAUGUGGCUUAAUUC
rnacentral:rRNA from 1 species